rnacentral:ncRNA from 2 species
CGAUAGCGAUGCUGUGAUGGUUUCCGCGCCCCUGAUCGGGGUCCGGGAUGAAAAGGGAACACGGUGCGGCCCAGCCGGUUUAUUCCGGGACAGCCAAGUCCGCGACUGCCCCCGCAACUGUAAGCGGAGAGCAAUGCCGAAAUACCACUGGCCGCAAGGCUGGGAAGGUCGGCAAAGCGACGACCCGCAAGUCAGGAGACCUGCCAUCAGGAACUGAAACCG